AAAUAAAUACACAUAAAUGAAGUCUGGGCUGCACCUUGAAAGCUGAUUCUGAGAAAAUUGGUUCUAAGAGGUGCUGUUCCGAGUGCUUGCAGAUGUCACCCUAUCUGAUCUCACAACAACCUUAUGAGAGAACCGGGCACAUAAUUUAACAGCUUCUCAAUGACACACGGUCAGCAUCAUGAGGUCUAUGAGGUAAGGGAGGAAGCAUGAGCUGGCACUAAGAAAAUAACUGUUUACAAAGUUGAGAGGCUGAUUUGGGUCCUGCCCUUCUUGGGACCUUGGCAGGUGACUUCUCUGAGCUUCACCUUUUCCCUCUAUAAAACCAGAGGCACCGGACAGCUCAGCCAUCGAGGACUCUUCUGAAGUCGUCUCGUCCCUCCCUCCCAGCUGUCACUCCCGCUUACCAACUCACCUGUGUCCUCUUGCUACUUUAUCCCUUCCAGUUCUCUGUUCUAGCACACUACGGAAUAAGAAAGCUGGCUGAGGAUGUUAGGACACUUUGUAUCAAGAGUCCAUG